rnacentral:rRNA from 1 species
AACGAACGCUGGCGGCAUGCCUAACACAUGCAAGUCGAACGAGACCUUCGGGUCUAGUGGCGCACGGGUGCGUAACGCGUGGGAACCUGCCCUUAGGUUCGGAAUAACUCCCCGAAAGGGGUGCUAAUACCGGAUAAUGUCUUCGGACCAAAGAUUUAUCGCCUUUGGAUGGGCCCGCGUUGGAUUAGCUAGUUGGUAGGGUAAAAGCCUACCAAGGCGACGAUCCAUAGCUGGUCUGAGAGGAUGAUCAGCCACACUGGGACUGAGACACGGCCCAGACUCCUACGGGAGGCAGCAGUGGGGAAUAUUGGACAAUGGGCGAAAGCCUGAUCCAGCAAUGCCGCGUAAGUGAUGAAGGCCUUAGGGUUGUAAAGCUCUUUUACCCGGGAUGAUAAUGACAGUACCGGGAGAAUAAGCUCCGGCUAACCCCGUG